CCAUUAUAUUUACCAACACAGACUUUAGAAAUAUUUGUAAAAGUUGUUCAUGCGCUAUUAAGUGAAUAUGGCAUUAACCCUCCUGUUGUCUUUGGGUCGGUUUUCAUGUAUUUUUGAAUAAAGGUUUCCUUUAGGUGAUCCAGACAGGCUGGACCAGUGGGUGCUGAACAUCCGGAGGAAUAAAUGGACCCCCAACGUUUCUUCUCGCCUGUGCAGUGAACACUUUGAGAGUCAUCACUUCAGCACGGACUCAUGGGGAAGGAGAUGCCUGAAAAACACUGCAGUGCCCACCAUUUUCUAUUUCACCAAAGAACACCAGCCUAGAAGGAAAAGCAGGGUCACCAAGACGAGGCGUAACUGAGGAGGAGGAUCGCUGAGUCUCUGCUGAGGUGUUUACCGCUUUAUAGGAUCAGGUCACAUGUGUCUCAAUGAAACAGCUACUAGUGGCUGAUGUCUCUUUUGACUUGUUGGAGAGUCCUGGUUCUUGGAUGUGGAUCCUAAAGUGUAUCAUGGGUAUUGUCUGUGAUGUCAGGCUGUGUGCAGUUUGCCCUGAGCAGCUUGUGUGAGCAGCCACCAGAGGGCAGCAUGGUGCAGGUUUGAACCAGCAGCUGACAGGAGGCUGAUGGGAUGUUAAACCCAGCAAAGAUAACAGCAUGCAGCUCGCUCUGUAGUAUGAAACAGAUUGAUACACAUACACACAAAGAAAUACAACAUGCAGUACAGGUUGAUGUGUGGAUGGAAAUAUACACAAAGGAUGCACUCUGUUUAGUAGAGGGGAUGUCUUGAUUCAUUUUGAGGUCCCUUUGAAGUAGUGUAGUAGUCUUGGGUCCAUUAUUCAAGUUUAUGUGUCUGUUUAUCUAUAGUCGUUGUGUGUCUGUUUGUAGUUAUUUUACGCAAGCGAGCCCCGAUGCAUCGGCCAGACAUCGCCAUCAGCUGAUGUUCGACAUCAUUUCUGCCAUCAGCAGAUCUGCAAUAAAAGGUGACAUUAGGCCAUGGUUAGUAGCUGAUCUUAGCUGAUGGGCUAAUGUGAAUUGCCCACAUUGCCAACGUUCAGAUCAGGGCUGGGCAAUAUACUGAUAUUACUUCAAAGUUGUGAUUGGCCCCGGUACAAAUAUUGUUUUGGGCCCCCAAAGAGGGGGCCCAAAAAAAAAGCGCUGCUCUUGUGCUUGCUGUACAUUAUAGAUGCAAGCUAUUACAUUUUUUAUAAUGCUACCGAACUUGCUGCUGCUAGCUACAGUACAGUACAGGUUGAUUAAACGGUUCGCUCGUCACGCAAGGUAUCACAUGACAUGAAAGAGAGCAAGGUCAUUGGACAGACAAAUUACAAACAUAAUUUAGGUUGCUUGGUUACUUUGAAGACUGCGUGAACCGGUCAAUGCCAUUGGGGCUCCAAAAUAAAAACAUAUAUAAACAUAUAUAUAUAUAUAAAAAAAUGUUUUUGCAUUUUUGUUGUUGUUGCAUGGGCCCCUUGCCGGCUCUGGGCCCCGGUGCGUUGCACCAGCUGCACCGGCGAUAGUUACGCCACUGGUUCAAAGAUUAAAUGGUUUUAUCGUCAUAUGAACAACAGUUGUAGUGUAGUUUUAGCCGGAGCUUGAAGUGGGGAUCAAAGUUCCAUUACGCCCUUAUUCACAUAUUGGCUUGUUUAUCAGUAAACAAUUAUUACAGUGAAUAAAAAGCACAGUCCUUCCCAGUCUGCUCCAGGUUUAAUUACACUGCCCUUCAUUUGAAAUACCAAACAUAUAUCUAUAGGUGGAGAUGAAGCCCUUCAGAACUUAGAUUAAAGAGUGCAGCGUGUACAAAAGAUUAGAUCUAAUAGAGUAUCCUACUCAAGGUCAAGUACAAGUUAGCGUACAUAAAUACACUUUACCCAAGAAAAAUGACUUGCAAAUAAAUUGACAGAGAAAAUGGAAAAAUAUAUAAAAUACUUCAGCCCAAGGGUUGUGACGAGGUGCUGAUCUGGAAGUAGGACUAUGUGCAUAUACUUUAUUUAUAUCUGGUUAUUUUGAGAAGGCCUGGGGCCUACACCUGAUAAUAACUUAUCAAAAUAUGCAUUCCUGAGUAGAGUAACUACAAUUAACCAGAGUUCACUAAGUAUUAAGCUACAUGCAUAGAAAUAAACACAAAUACAAAAACAUCAAGGUCUCAAACACAGGUGUAUAUAUAUUAAAUAAGCCCCAUUGCAGCCACAGUCUAUGCAGCCAUGGCCGUUCCCACCAUUAAGGUCACAGAGGUCCGGACCUCCAAGGUGCGCAAUCUAUGCCUGUGAGCGUGCUGCGCAAGCUGAGAUAAUGUGUUAUGUGGUGUGCGUAGUUGAACCUUUUCAAAUUUAAGUUUGUAGCAAGUAGAGGGCUGCUGCGUGCGUGCGUGUAUGUGUGUGUGUGUGUGUGUGUGUGUGUGUGUGUGUGUGUGUGUGUGUGUGUGCGUGUGCGUGUGCGUGUGCUUGCACAUUAGUCUUAAAGACCCCCAUAAAGCUCAGAUUAUAACUCGAACCCUGGACGACAAGAUGCAUGAUAACUUAUAUUGCAGCUAUACUUUGGUUUAAACCCAUGAAUAAAAUAGCUAGAGAGCUAAAGUUAAUUUCAUUCUGUCACGAUCUGCCUGUAUUGUAUUUUGUCUUGUCUUGUUUCAUGUUUUAUUUUUGAAAGGUCUUCACUUCCUGUCUUGCCUGUUUCUGUCUGCGUUGUGUCUUGUUUAAACCUGUCUGUGGU